CACGUAGGGUCCGAGCGUUGUCCGGAAUUACUGGGCGUAAGGCGCGCGCAGGCGGUCCAUUCAGUCGCUGGUGAAAGCCCCACGCUCAACGUGGGAAGGUCCGGCGAGACGGGUGGACUGGAGGCAGGGAGAGGUCGGUGGAAUUCCGGGUGUAGUGGUGAAAUGCGUAGAGAUCCGGAGGAACACCAGAGGCGAAGGCGGCCGACUGGACCUGACCUGACGCUGAGGCGCGAAGGCGUGGGGAGCGAACGGG
rnacentral:rRNA from 1 species